rnacentral:rRNA from 1 species
CCUACGGGUGGCUGCAGUGGGGAAUAUUGCACAAUGGGCGCAAGCCUGAUGCAGCCAUGCCGCGUGUGUGAAGAAGGCCUUCGGGUUGUAAAGCACUUUCAGCGGGGAGGAAGGCGGUGAGGUUAAUAACCUCAUCGAUUGACGUUACCCGCAGAAGAAGCACCGGCUAACUCCGUGCCAGCAGCCGCGGUAAUACGGAGGGUGCAAGCGUUAAUCGGAAUUACUGGGCGUAAAGCGCACGCAGGCGGUCUGUCAAGUCGGAUGUGAAAUCCCCGGGCUCAACCUGGGAACUGCAUUCGAAACUGGCAGGCUAGAGUCUUGUAGAGGGGGGUAGAAUUCCAGGUGUAGCGGUGAAAUGCGUAGAGAUCUGGAGGAAUACCGGUGGCGAAGGCGGCCCCCUGGACAAAGACUGACGCUCAGGUGCGAAAGCGUGGGGAGCAAACAGGAUUAGAUACCCCUGUAGUC